rnacentral:rRNA from 1 species
GACGUAGGGCGCAAGCGUUGUCCGGAUUUAUUGGGCGUAAAGAGCUCGUAGGCGGCUGGUCACGUCGACUGUGAAAACCCGCGGCUCAACCGCGGGCUUGCAGUCGAUACGGGCAGGCUAGAGUUUGGUAGGGGAGACUGGAAUUCCUGGUGUAGCGGUGAAAUGCGCAGAUAUCAGGAAGAACACCCGUGGCGAAGGCGGCUCUCUGGUACGUGACUGACGCUGAGACGCGAAAGCGUGGGGAGCGAACAGG